rnacentral:rRNA from 1 species
GACGAACGCUGGCGGCGUGCUUAACACAUGCAAGUCGAACGGUAAGGCCUUCGGGUACACGAGUGGCGAACGGGUGAGUAACACGUGGGUGAUCUGCCCCCUACUCUGGGAUAAGCCUGGGAAACUGGGUCUAAUACCGGAUAUGACCUCCUUCUGCAUGGGUGGUGGUGUAAAGUUUUUUCGGUAGGGGAUGAGCCCGCGGCCUAUCAGCGUGUGGGUGGGGUACUGGCCUACCAAGGCGACGACGGGUAGCCGGCCUGAGAGGGCGACCGGGCACACUGGGACUGAGACACGGCCCAGACUCCUACGGGAGGCAGCGGUGGGGAAUAUUGCACAAUGGGCGAAAGCCUGAUGCAGCGACGCCGCGUGGGGGAUGACGGCCUUCGGGUUGUAAACCCCUUUCAGUCGGGACGAAGCGAGAGUGACGGUACCGAUAGAAGAAGCACCGGCCAACUACGUGCCAGCAGCCGCCGUAA